AGAUAUCACACAGAAUAUCGAUUGCGAAGGCAGCUCACAAAGCCAUUAUUGACGCUGAUGCACGAAAGUGUGGGGAUCAAACAGGAUUAGAUACCCUGGUAGUCCACACCGUAAACGAUGAUAACUCGCUGUCGGCGAUACACAGUCGGUAGCCAAGCGAAAGCGAUAAGUUAUCCACCUGGGGAGUACGACCGCAAGGUUGAAACUUAAAGGAAUUGGCGGG
rnacentral:rRNA from 1 species